rnacentral:rRNA from 1 species
UACGUAGGGUGCAAGCGUUGUCCGGAAUUAUUGGGCGUAAAGAGCUCGUAGGCGGUUUGUCGCGUCUGCUGUGAAAACUCGGGGCUUAACCCCGGGCCUGCAGUGGGUACGGGCAGACUAGAGUGCGGUAGGGGAGACUGGAAUUCCUGGUGUAGCGGUGAAAUGCGCAGAUAUCAGGAGGAACACCGACGGCGAAGGCAGCUUACUGGGCCGAUACUGACGCUGAGGAGCGAAAGCGUGGGGAGCGAACAGG